CCUCGCCACAGCAGUGACAACCCUGAAUCCUAACCACUAGGCCACCAGGGAACUCCUCUAAGCACUUAAUUUCGAACCAACCUUGAAAGAGAAGACAAUGCAGAAAGCAAAGUUCUGACCCGCAACAGCCGCCCUCACUUAAAAGGUAUUUACUUAAAAGCUAAAGUAUAGUCCACUCACAUGCUAGCAAAUUCCAAAUGAAAUGGGCUUAAUCAUAAGCAAAUAUGUCAGGAAUCUGGUCGGCUAAGCCACCCAACCGCCAACAACUCCAGCGGCUUCAAUUUUCAAAGAAGAGAAUAGUUCCAGACUAGGGCAAGUAAUAAGUAAUUUAGAGGUAACGCUGGGAAGAUGUCAGGGGCAACUUAAAUUGCCUAAAAAGCCUUUUCCUCUCUGGCUUUGAAAUUGCAGUUAAUUUCUAGAAAACUUCUUAUUGAGUAGAUAGGUAUUCAUAUCUCUACUGCUUUGUGAGGGUAUUGUUUCUUUGUUGCUACUGAAAAAAAAAAAAGAAUGAAAUCCAGUCUGGCUCCUCUCAGGCUCCUUUUGUGCUGGAAGAGGUAGGUGGUCCUUUGGAACAGCCCCCCAGCAUGACCAGAAACUGUAAAAUAAUCCAAUACACAGGGCCAAUCGGCGCCAUCCUAUUCCGCCGGGAGUGUGGUUAGGAAUGGUAACCUUUUAUUCAAAGGACACAAAUGCCUUCCCUCUUCAAAAUACCAGCCUUUGGUACCUAUGGUUUCUACGUGGAGAAGAGAGAAAGGAAAAGACAUCAAAAUUAUAUAAGUAAGUUUUUCUAAAAAUACCCUCCCACAACUUGCCCAAAUGACUGAGAUAUUUCUAAUUCACUUUCAAGUCACAGAAACCUAAACACUUCGCUGUAUGUUAAGAUGUCAGAUAUGAAUCGUCUUAACCAGCUGGGUCAAAUGUGAGCUGCAAACCGCAGUCAGAAGGGGUGAUUUCUCACCUCCAUGGGCACACAAGCCUGGAGGACUCCGCCUCCGACUCAGCAAUCUGUUAAAGGGACAAUUUUGAAGUUCUGUGCAAUGUGAGGGUAGCCAGCCUGAAAUAUAGCUAUGGAUGGGACAGCCGCAGAAAGUUAACAGAUACUUUCAAUAAGUGAUAAAGAUAUUGUGUAGUCAUGGUAACCUGCAUGCAAAUUUAGAACAUUUAUUUUAAAAGUCUUCUCUCCCCUUUCCCUCAAUAUCACUUCGAGUGUUCUCUUUUCUGUAUUCUUAUCUGAAGCUGUGCCACUAAGAGUCCAACAAUAAUGGAAUCUAAUGUUUGAGUUUCUUUCUUCGAGAUGGAACUUGCACGAUUUCCAGGCAGAUCCUCUGAGCAAGGGCUUUGAGAAUAUCCAUGUAUUGCUCUACGCAUCUGCAUCAUAUAAUUUACACCACACUGAAAUGUGAAAAAGGCCUUUAAGUAUCCUGUUCCCUAGAGGCUGUAAACUAAUAAGUAUUAUAAUUAAUUUCUUAAGCACUAAGCUAAAGGGAUGCAGUCGAAACCUCACAUGCAUGAAAGGCAGAACUUUCCCCGGAACCCAAAUUGGAAGGAAGCAUAUCCACCAGAAGAGGCAGAAGAAACAGAGAGGGCAGAGCCAGGAGGCAGCAGUUUUCUUGUGGCCCAUUAACUGUUUCUUUCACAGAGUUGUAUUCUCCCUUUUGAAACGAGAGGCCAAGCAAACUCCUGACAACAGACCGGAGACAGGCCUUUCUCCCUAGACCUCACUCCGCUGUAUCUUCAACCCCCCACUGGCAGCCCAGCUGGCUCGGACAAGCAUCAUUUCAGAAGAGGACUGAAGCCAGGGCAAGCUUCUCAUGUCUUCCUGAGGCCACUGGAUUUAAAAAUAUAUGAUAAUUUGAUAUCAGCAUGGAUGGAGAGAAAAGUCCGAAAGGGCACAGUGACAACACAGAUCCCUGGCCCUUCCUUCUUUCAGCGUGUGUCUGCUCUGUAAACGUGCUAACGGAACACACAUCCCUUUUACAUUCAGAAAAAGAGCCAUCUAACGGACUUUUAAAAAAACAGAAGUAGUAGUUCCCAUCAUGGCACAGCGGAAAUGAAUCCGACUAGGAACCAUGAGGUUGCAGGUUCGAUCCCUGGCCUCAUUCAGUGGGUUAAGGAUCUGGUGUGGCCGUGAGCUGUGGUGUAGGUCCCAGACAUAGCUCAGAUCCCAUGUUGCUGUGGCUGUGGUGUAGGCCGGGAGUUGCAGCUCUGAUUCAACCCCCAGCCUGGGGACUUCCAUAUACUGUGUGGCCCUAAAAAGACAAAAAAAAAAAAAAAAAAAAAUUGUUAAGAGGUUAGAUCUCGUGUUAAGUCCUAUAUAACACAAGGAACUAUAUCCAGUCUCGUGAUGGAACAUGAUGGAAGACAGAAUAAAAAAAAGAAUGUACAUAUAUGUAUGACUGGGUCACUUUGCUGUACAACAGAUAUUAAAGAAACACUGUAAAUCAACUGUAAUUUUAAAAGUAUUCUUAAUAUGAAUAAAUUCUAACAAUAAAAAUUUUAACAUAUAUCAUUUUCUUAGUGUGAUAAAUAAUUUGCUUUACUACAGAAAACCAAAAAAGAAGAUAAUGAAAUCACUCAUAAUCCUCCCCCCUAAAAAAAAAAGAAAAAAGAAAAAAAAAAA
rnacentral:lncRNA from 1 species